rnacentral:rRNA from 1 species
GAACGGGUUGCAAUAAACUGGUGGCUGCGACUGUUUAAUAAAAACACAGCACUCUGCAAACACGAAAGUGGACGUAUAGGGUGUGACGCCUGCCCGGUGCUGGAAGAUUAAAUGAUGGGGUGCAAGCUCUUGAUUGAAGUCCCAGUAAACGGCGGCCGUAACUAUAACGGUCCUAAGGUAGCGAAAUUCCUUGUCGGGUAAGUUCCGACCUGCACGAAUGGCGUAACGAUGGCCACACUGUCUCCUCCCGAGACUCAGCGAAGUUGAAGUGUUUGUGAUGAUGCAAUCUACCCGCGGCUAGACGGAAAGACCCCAUGAACCUUUACUGUAGCUUUGCAUUGGACUUUGAAUCAAUCUGUGUAGGAUAGGUGGGAGGCUUUGAAGCGGUCACGCCAGUGAUCGUGGAGCCAACCUUGAAAUACCACCCUGGUUCAUUUGAGGUUCUAACCUUGGCCCGUUAUCCGGGUCGGGGACAGUGCAUGGUAGGCAGUUUGACUGGGGCGGUCUCCUCCUAAAGUGUAACGGAGGAGUUCGAAGGUACGCUAGUUACGGUCGGACAUCGUGACGAUAGUGCAAUGGCAUAAGCGUGCUUAACUGCGAGACUGACAAGUCGAGCAGGUACGAAAGUAGGACAUAGUGAUCCGGUGGUUCUGUAUGGAAGGGCCAUCGCUCAACGGAUAAAAGGUACUCUGGGGAUAACAGGCUGAUUCCUCCCAAGAGUUCAUAUCGACGGGGGAGUUUGGCACCUCGAUGUCGGCUCAUCACAUCCUGGGGCUGUAGCCGGUCCCAAGGGUAUGGCUGUUCGCCAUUUAAAGUGGUACGUGAGCUGGGUUUAAAACGUCGUGAGACAGUUUGGUCCCUAUCUGCCGUGGGCGUUGGAAAUUUGAAGGGGGCUGCUCCUAGUACGAGAGGACCGGAGUGGACAGACCUCUGGUGUACCGGUUGUCACGCCAGUGGCAUUGCCGGGUAGCUAAGUCUGGAAGAGAUAACCGCUGAAAGCAUCUAAGCGGGAAACUUGCCUUAAGAUGAGAUUUCCCAGAGCCUUGAGCUCUUUGAAGGGUCGUUCGAGACCAGGACGUUGAUAGGUCAGGUGUGGAAGUGCAGUAAUGCAUUAAGCUAACUGAUACUAAUUGCCCGUACGGCUUGUCCCU